GACGAACGCUGGCGGCGUGCUUAACACAUGCAAGUCGAACGGAAAGGCCCUGCUUUUGUGGGGUGCUCGAGUGGCGAACGGGUGAGUAACACGUGAGUAACCUGCCCUUGACUUUGGGAUAACUUCAGGAAACUGGGGCUAAUACCGGAUAGGAGCUCCUGCUGCAUGGUGGGGGUUGGAAAGUUUCGGCGGUUGGGGAUGGACUCGCGGCUUAUCAGCUUGUUGGUGGGGUAGUGGCUUACCAAGGCUUUGACGGGUAGCCGGCCUGAGAGGGUGACCGGCCACAUUGGGACUACGAUACGGCCCAGACGCCUACGGGAGGCAGCAGUGGGGAAUAUUGCACAAUGGGCGGAAGCCUGAUGCAGCAACGCCGCGUGCGGGAUGACGGCCUUCGGGUUGCAAACCGCUUUCGCCUGUGACGAAGCGUGAGUGACGGUAAUGGGUAAAGAAGCACCGGCUAACUACGUG
rnacentral:rRNA from 1 species